rfam:Clostridium sp. CAG:352 genomic scaffold, scf71
GAAUUUCUGCCCGAUUCGUGGACUGUGUCUAAAUAACCCUACAACUUUUUUCUCGGGAGUUUACCUCCUGCGGCGGAUUGCAGACCUCCCGCUUUUGCGGAAGAAGGGAGCAUGAACCCGCAAGGGUGACACCCACCUGUCUAAUCCAGUAGGCAGGUUAUUAUUGACACAAUACGGUCGGGUGGAUUUUUU